rnacentral:rRNA from 1 species
CAGUCGCGUUCUCUGGGAUUCAGCCUUGCUUCUUGCUUGGUGCAUUUCCUAGUCUACGGGCCAGCAUGAAUCUUGAGCGGUGGAAAAGGGUUUGGGGAAUGUGGCACCUCCGGGUGUGUUAAGCCCUGGACUUGAUACGGCUCUGGGGACAGAGGACCGCAGCGCGCCUUCUUGGCAUUGGCUUCGGCCUUUUCCGCGCUAAGGAUUCUGGCUUAAUGGCUUUAAGCGACCCGUCUUGAAACACGGACCAAGGAGUCUAGCAUAUAUGCGAGUGUU